rnacentral:rRNA from 1 species
CCUACGGGUGGCAGCAGUGAGGAAUAUUGGUCAAUGGACGAGAGUCUGAACCAGCCAAGUAGCGUGAAGGAUGACUGCCCUAUGGGUUGUAAACUUCUUUUAUAUGGGAAUAAAAUGUUCCACGUGUGGGAUUUUGUAUGUACCAUAUGAAUAAGGAUCGGCUAACUCCGUGCCAGCAGCCGCGGUAAUACGGAGGAUCCGAGCGUUAUCCGGAUUUAUUGGGUUUAAUGGGAGCGUAGGUGGAUUGUUAAGUCAGUUGUGAAAGUUUGCGGCUCAACCGUAAAAUUGCAGUUGAAACUGGCAGUCUUGAGUACAGUAGAGGUGGGCGGAAUUCGUGGUGUAGCGGUGAAAUGCUUAGAUAUCACGAAGAACUCCGAUUGCGAAGGCAGUUCACUGGACUGCAACUGACACUGAGGCUCGAAAGUGUGGGUAUCAAACAGGAUUAGAUACCCUAGUAGUC